UUUAGCCCAAAAAAACGACAUAGUAUAUAGUAUGGCAUUUUUAGCCCGAAAAAAACGACCAUGUAUAGUAAGGCGUUUUUAGCCGAAAAAAAUGACAUAGUAUAGUAAGGCGUUUUAGCCGAAAAAAACAACCAUGUUAGCCCGAAAAAAACGACAUAGUAUAGUAAGGCGUUUUUAGCCGAAAAAAAUGACAUGUAUAGUAAGGCGUUUUUAGCCCGAAAAAACGACAUAGUAUAGUAAGGCGUUUUUAGCCGAAAAAAAUGACAUAGUAUAGUAAGGCGUUUUUAGCCCGAAAAAAACGACAUAGUAUAGUAAGGCGUUUUUAGCCGGAAAAAAAUGACAUAGUAUAGUAAGGCGUUUUAGCCGAAAAAAACGACCAUGUAUAGUAAGGCGUUUUUAGCCCGAAAAAAACGACAUAGUAUAGUAAGGCGUUUUAGCCGAAAAAAACGACCAGGUAUAGUAAGGCGUUUUUAGCCCGAAAAAAAACGACAUAGUAUACUAAGGCGUUUUUAGCCCAAAAAAACGACAUAGUAUAUAGUAUGGCAUUUUUAGCCGGAAAAAAAACGACCAUGUAUAGUAAGGCGUUUUUAGCCCGAAAAAAACAACACAGUAUAGUAAGGCGUUUUUAGCCGAAAAAAUGACGUAGUAUAGUAAGGCGUUUUAGCCGGAAAAAAAACGACCAUGUAUAGUAAGGCGUUUUUAGCCCGAAAAAACGACAUAGUAUA